rnacentral:rRNA from 1 species
GGCAUCGUUACUUUGAAGAAUUAGAGUGUUUAAGCAGGCUAACGCUUGAAUACAUUAGCUGGGAAUAAUGAAAUAGGACGUUCGAUCUUAUUUGUUGGUUUCUAAGAUUGACGUAAUGUUAAUAGGGAUAGUUGGGGCAUUAGUAUUCAAUUGUCAGAGGUGAAAUUCUUGGAUUUAUGAAGACUAACUACUGCGAAAGCAUUUGCCAAGGAUGUUUCAUUAAUCAAGAACGAAAGUAGGGGAUCGAAGACGAUCAGAUACCG